rnacentral:rRNA from 1 species
UACGAAGGGGGCUAGCGUUGUUCGGAAUUACUGGGCGUAAAGGGCGCGUAGGCGGCCUACUAAGUCGGACGUGAAAUCCCUCGGCUCAACCGAGGAACUGCGUCCGAUACUGGCAGGCUGGAAUCCGGGAGAGGGAUGUGGAAUUCCAGGUGUAGCGGUGAAAUGCGUAGAUAUCUGGAGGAACACCGGUGGCGAAGGCGGCAUCCAGGACCGGUAUUGACGCUGAGGCGCGAAAGCUAGGGGAGCAAACGGG